GAUGUCCUUCACUACCAAGAUGAUUCUCUGAAUAGCUGCAUCUGUGCUGGGAAAUGCCACCGGAAAUUGGAUGACAAGAGAUCUUGAUACAGGGUGCAGCAACAUCCAGUAGCACUGGGGACGUCCUCUAAUUGUAUCUGCAUUCUCCCCUCCAUGCAAUAACAGCCUGAUAAAUUUGGUUCAGCUGAGCGGAGUUCCACAUAGUAUGCGACUUGCCUUAUAUCUCUCCUCUCAAAAAACACCUGCACUGAUCCAUAUAGAUUCUUAUUUCCCAGAAUGUCUCACAGUCAUAAAAUAAGAAGAAAAAUGCCAAUUUGUAAAUGGUGAGUAUUUAAGUAGUGUUGUCUGGUUCAGUAUUUUGAAUGUAUUUGGUUUUAUUAUUUGCUUUCAUUAUUCAGUACUCGUGGAAGCAGUGCUUCUUCAUUC